AUUGAACGCUGGCGGCAUGCCUUACACAUGCAAGUCGAACGGCAGCACGGGAGCAAUCCUGGUGGCGAGUGGCGAACGGGUGAGUAAUAUAUCGGAACGUGCCCAGUCGUGGGGGAUAACGUAGCGAGAGCUACGCUAAUACCGCAUACGAUCUAUGGAUGAAANCGGGGGAUCGCAAGACCUCGCGCGAUUGGAGCGGCCGAUAUCAGAUUAGGUAGUUGGUGAGGUAAAGGCUCACCAAGCCGACGAUCUGUAGCUGGUCUGAGAGGACGACCAGCCACACUGGGACUGAGACACGGCCCAGACUCCUACGGGGGGCAGCAGUGGGAAUUUUGGACAAUGGGCGCAAGCCUGAUCCAGCAAUGCCGCGUGCAGGAUGAAGGCCUUCGGGUUGUAAACUGCUUUGUACGGAACGAAACGGUGAGCUCUAAUACAGUUUGCUAAUGACGGUACCGUAAGAAUAAGCACCGGCUAACUACGUG
rnacentral:rRNA from 1 species